UGUACAUGGUGUCUACCCUGUCUGCC
rnacentral:piRNA from 1 species